GCCUCUGCCUCCGAGCCGCUUUCCUGGUGCCUCCGGGUGCUCUGGGAUGGUUCUGGUCUUUGGGAGAGUGGCAGCUGGUGACGGCGCUCCGCUCACCUCUGCACAUGUCUUGCUGUGGGCCUGCGGGUGGCCGCCAGGGAGGCAGAGCCCUCCCGCAAACCUUCCCUGCUGGUGUCCACCUCAGGGUGUGGGAAACCUGUGCGCUGGCCGAGUGCUAACCAAGAGUAGGCAGUGAAAGACAAAUGAAGGUUGAACAGGUAAAGUGAGGACCCUACAGCGGAAACCAAGAAUCCUGUGUGCCUGAGAGUAAUGAAGAAGCCUCUGCAGAAGAGUCUUUUCUGUCAGUCUUAAGGUCUCUGUUUUAAUGUUAGUGCUGGCUUGCUGUACCUGAAUUCCAAGGGAGGAGUGUAUAAUGAGGCAUGGCCAACCCCCACUUCCCAUCAUUGCCUGAACUAGUUUUUCAGGUUAACUUCAGAAUGCCCUUGGGCAAGCAGAGGGUCCAUCAGUCGGUUGGAGGGUUUAGAAUUUUACUGUUGGUUUGCAAAGGUCUGAAAGAAACAUGUACCACCUGUUCUCUUUAAGGAGUUCUACUUAGGAGGUUUCAUUUACAUAACAAGACCGUGGUUGUCAGCCAGGUCUCCACCCGCAUAACCUGUUAUGCCACAAUCCAAACCCCCAUUCUGUAACCUCAAGAUGGUAUAUAAGUUUCUGAACCCCAUUUGGGGCUUCAGCAAAAUCACUCUGGUUCUCCCCCAUGUGCAUGUUAAUAAAUUUGUAUGCCCUUUCUCCAAUUAAUGUGCCUUUUGUCAGUUGACUUUUCAGUGAACCUUCAGAGGACAAAAAGGAAGCUUUCCCUUGGCUACUACAGUGGCUUUAAUGGAAGUAAAGUCAUCAACAACAUUUAUUUUUGACAAAAUCACAGUUUAGUUGGCAGUAUAUUUGUUUGUUUUUGUUUUAUUUGAGAUGGAGUCUCGCUCUGUCGCCCAGGCUGGAGAGCAAUGGUGCGAUCUCGGCUCACUGCAACCUCCGCCUCCCGAGUUCAAGCAUUCUCCUGCCUCAGCCUCCCGAGCAGCUGGGUAGCAGUAUAUUUGUAAUGGUACAUAAAAUAAUGUCUGUUUUUAAAUAAACAUUUACAUUGUAAACCAAAAGUUAACUCUCCAUCAAUUUUUUUUUUUCUUUUUUGAGAUGGCAUCUUGCUCUGUCACCCAGGCUGGAGGAGUGCAGUGGCAUGAUCUCGGCUCACUGCAACCUUCGCCUCCCAGGCAAGCGAUCCUCUUGCCUCAGCCUCCUGAGCAGCUGGAAUUAUAGGUGUGUGCCAAUACAACCAGCUAAUUUUCGUAUCUUUGGUAGAGACAGAGUUUCACCAUGUUGGCCAGGCUUGUCUCGAAUUCCUGACCUCAGUUGAUCUGUCCGUCUCAGCUUCCCAAAGUGCUGGGAUUACAGGCAUGAGCCACCACAUCCGGCAUCCAUCAAUUUAGAAAGUUUAUUUCACCAAGAUUAAGGUUGCACCCGUGACACAGCCUCAGAAGGCCCUGAUGACCAUGUGCCCUUGGUGGUCAGGGUACAGCUUGCUUUUAUACAUGUUAGGGAGACAUGAGACAUCAAUCAGUAUGUGUAAGAUGUACUUUAGUCAGGUAAAGCGGGACUUGAGGUGAGGGCUUCCAGGUCAUGAGUAGAUAAGAGGCAAAAGAUCGCAUUUUUUUGAGUCCUUGAUCAGCCUUCCACUGAAUACACAAUUUAGUCUGGCUCAGUGAAUUAUCAUUUUUACGUAAACAAUAGGGGAGGGGAAGCAAUUAGAUAUGCAUUUGUCUCAGGCGCACCUUAAAGGGAUAACUUUGAGUUCUGUCUGUCCUUUAUCCACAAGGAAUUUCCUUGUGGGCAAAUUUUAAGGGAGGUACGUAGCCUCUUAUCUUGGCAGCUAUCUUAUUUAGGAAUAGAAUGGGAGGCAGGUUUGCCUGACAUAGUUUCCAGCUUGACUUUACCCUUUGGUUUAGUGAUUUUGUGGUCCUGAGUUUUAUUUUCCUUUCACAGAAAUUAUACCGUAAAAGUAAUUGAAGAAAAUCACUUCUUUCCCCUUCCCUCAACUAGGCCUUGACCAUUUUAAAUAAAAUCAGGAUUUGCUGAAGGUCAACAAAUUUAACCAAGUUCAGUUAAAACUUAACUCUGAAUCUGUAUGUCCCUGGGGUCUUUUCCAGUGAGAGAUGUCUAAGCAUCAUUCCAAGCUUUUCUAUACUAACUGGCCUAUUUGUAUGUUUCUUAUUUUAGGAUUCCUUUUGUUCAUGUGUAUUUUUAUUAGGCAAUCACCCAUUUCCUGUAGGUUUCCAGGUUAAUAUAUUUUUCUUAUUGGAAUUUUAAUUUAUCCUCUCUAGUUUUCUACAUAUUUUUUUUUUCUUUGAGACGAGGUCUCAUAUGUUGCCCCGGUUGGCCUCAAACUCCUGGGCUUAAGCAAUCCUCCCACCUUGGCCUCCCAAAGUGCUGGGAUUAUAGGUGUGAAUUACUGUACCCAGCCUAGAAUCCUUAGUCCUAUAUACUUUUGCUGUUUUUUUCAUUGCCAACUUGAAAUAAUAAAAAGGGUCAGAAUCCUAUAAACCAAAAAUAAAAUAAGGCCCCCCAACCCUCUGAAUGGACUUCCUCCUCUGACACAGAUCUUUUACAAUUUAACCUGUAUGAACCCCAAAAAUUGGAGACAGGUCUCAGUUAAUUUAGAAAAUUUAUCUUGCGAAGGUCAAGGACACACGAUUAUGACAGCCUCAGGAGGUCCUGACGACAUGUACCUAAGAUAGUCAGAGCACAGGGUGGUUUUAUACAUUUUAGGGAGAUAUAAGACAUCAAUCAACAUAUGUAAAAUGAAUAUUGGUCAGGAAAGGUGGGACAACUCAAAGAAAAAAUGGGACAACUCGAAGUGGGGAGGGGCUUCCAGGUCACAGGUAGGUGAGAGACAAAUGGUUGCACUCUUUUGAGUUUCUGAUUCACCUUUCUAAAAGAGGCAGUCAGACAUGCAUUUAUCUCAGUGAGCAGAGGGAUGACUGAAUGGAAUGGGAAGCAGGUUUGCCCUAAGCAGUUCCCAGCUUGACUUUUCCCAUUAGCUUAGUGAUUAUGGGAUUCCAAGGUAAUUUCCUUUCACAUUUCCCCCCUUUUCUUUUUUAAAA
rnacentral:lncRNA from 1 species